GAGAGGAUAAAAGCACUUCCGGUUUCGCCAAAGAGAGCAAAUAGUUUGGACGAGUUCUGAGAAAACGCCAUUAAUGUAAUAACUGUGCAAACGAAGUGUUUCCAAAAUACCAAAACUCUGCGCUGUUUUACUCCAUGUGCUGUUUCUGUUCUCACUUAAAGGCACGACUACAGGAGACGACACAAUCAGAGAGAUCCUCAGCCAUCUCGAAGAUCUCACUCGCUACUCCAAUCUCUUCACCAUUGACACAAGUCUAAUAUAUCUGACACACAUGCAGAUGGGGAGCACCUAUUUUUGCAGCUGUAAAGAAUUAAUCAGCAAUGAACUUUUGAAAACACUUGCUUUGGCAAAGAUUACCGAUGGAGACAUGGCACAAGAGUUGUAUACAAUCUUCCGAAUGCUGCAGUACAAUAUUAAAGCACUGCUGCAGCAGUCAGGGGAAGGAACAAUGGUUGGUUUAAGGUGCCCAAGAGACAAAACUGAGUUCCUCGUAAAGACUGAGCAGAAAGCUUCACAUCUGAACUUUGUCAAGCAGAGCAUCAGAUUUUUUCAACGCUGGCUGAAUAGAUGCCUAAUCAGUUCUAAGUAUUGAUUAACACUGUGGUGUUCUGACCAUUACUACAAUAAAGUUGUAGCGUGUUUCAAAAUAAAAUGUGGAAGAAUUCCUUUUAAAAAAUAAGAAAUUAUUUCUAUUAAAGUGAUAUAUCAAAUA